rnacentral:lncRNA from 1 species
CUCCCCGGAGCGGUCACCAGCACCCCCUGGGAAACGGCAGGCCUUGGCUGGUCGCCCCUUCGCUCCAGGACAGCCUGUGACUGGGUCCCCACCUUCUGGCCCCUCUGCCACUCACCAGGUAGCAAAGAAGAGAGACUGAACAUCCAGGGACCGGGUCUGGGCUCCAGCUCAGCCUCUCAGUCCUUGUGUGACUGUGGACAUGACCUUUUCCCUCACUGGCCUCAGUUUCCCCGUCUUUGUGGCAGAAGGCUCGUUUUCACUAGGCAUCGUCUUGCCCUAAUAUUUUAUUGUGUUGUCGUCUCUUUCCAUGGAAAGAAAGUUCUGGAACACCUGUUCAGCAAUGCAGUCUUCCCUCUCAACGGACCCUUCUCAACAUGACCACCUCCCCUUAACUUCCAGGCUCACUAGUCCCUGGCUGCAAAUGCCUUCGAUGCCACAAGCAAGAGGAGAGAUGCGGAGUGGGGACCGUCCCCGUGACCUGGCACCCCCUCGUCAAAGCUGUGCCCCUUUGAGUGCCCAGGGUCCUGCCAGAGCUCAGGGACUCAAAGGUGUGCCCUUUGCCUUGCUGAUCUCCUCACUUCUGGGCUGGAACAUGGAAAUGACUCACUUUACAGAUGAGGGAACUGAGGCACAGAGUGGGGAAGAGUCUUGCCUGAGUUACGCAGACCUGGCUCCUACUGGCUCAAAGAGAGGGGGCUGUUAAAGGCUCAUGGAUUUUGCAAGCCCGAUUUCACUGGCGCUUUGAACUCAGCUGCAAGUGUAAGUAUUUACACCACGGCAAUUGGCAACUGACGCAAACCAAGAUUUUGUGGUUUUUUUGUUUACUGGUUUGCUUUGUUUCUUCCUUUCAGGCAGCCGGUGGUGAAACAUUUACCAGCUCACCACUGACUGGAGGCCAGCCACAGCUUUUAGAGACAGUGUCUCUAGAAGGGUCCCUAGCUUAGAAAGUUGCAGAGAUUUUCAAGACCGCACCCUCGUCUCCAGAUCUGUCACGGAUCUGAGGCUGACGCCAAAGACAAAGAAAUUUCUUCCUUCUCUCGUGAUGCCAACAGCUAGCUUCUCUCUCUACUCCACCAUAAUAACAUCCCAUCCUGUGCAAGAAGACUGUCCCGGCUGUCCCUUGGGGCAGGGAUUAAAGGUACUACAGGGUUCAGAGCGCCUGGCCAGCUCGCCCUAACCUCUGAUACCGUGUGAUCAAUUCCAUAAAUAUUUACCAAGCUCCUCACUUAACCUCCCUGAGACUGUCCCUUCAGCUGUAAAAAAAAAAAAAAAAAAAAAAAAAAACCAAGAAAAACUC